AACACAUCACCAACAACGUGCAGGAAAACCGACUCGACCCCAGUUACGUUUUCUUCCAAGUAAUACCCAAACCGCGAAGCCCAGCAAAUCACUGCGUUUUCCUCUCCUUCUCCCUUAUCUUCUUGUACAAAACCGUUUGUUGAUAUGCCAGAUGGAGCAAUCUCUAUGCUUGUUCGUCGUUGCCUCAUGUAGAAUCAAUGGCUAUCCUCUUCAUUCUGUUGAGAAAUUGUACAAAUUUGUACCUGAUUUAGCUGGCAACCUUAUCCUCCAAGGAUUUCGAAUUCAAAUUCAUUCUGUUUUCCCCCUUUUUAUCAAACUUUAGAAGUCUCCUACAAAUACCCCUGUCUCAUUCUUUGAAUCUGUUGGUCUUUUUUGUGACUGAAAUAAUACAAGAAAAAAUAUUCUAACGGAUAGAAGGAAAUACAAAUAUAUAAAGAAUCCCAUAGAAACAGGGGAGGAGAACAUGUUCAAGAAAAUAUACUUACAUCAUCUUAAGAAAGGAAAUAGAUAAGCUCAUAUACAUAUAUACCUAUCGAAGUCGAGUUAGAAGCAGAAGUAUUGCUUAAUUCUUGAUUGUCGUUCGAACUCGAAUUGUGUAUUGAAAAUGAGUCCCCUGCUAGCACCGUCUCAAGUUUUCUGCCGCAGAGAAGGUCGAAACAUGAAUAGGGGGGCCAAAUUCGAAACGCAGGUUAAUAACAGUAAAGAUACACUGCUGGAAAAGAUAUUUCAGCCCUCAAAAGUCGAAAAUUAAGCUGAUAUACAGUCUGUAUACACUGGUAUACGGUCAAAAUAUAUGGUAUAUAGUUGAAAAUGUGCCAUUACAGGGAAAACGCAAAAACAAAAUAUAUGAAUAUCUGGAUGAAAAUUACAGGUGUGGGAGCUCAAGAAUUAGCUAUAUGUAGUAUGUAUAUACAGGAUAUACACUCAAUGUAUGUCAUGGAGGAAAAAAUGGAAAGGGGCCAAAAGCCCAAGGAAAAUCCAGCAGGCCCAAAUUGGUUCCAAAGUGGGCAAGUUUUGGGUCAUUAUUUCAGAAUUAGGACAGGUGGGCCAAAGCCCAAUUUGGUGAAUUUGGGUAAUUAACCCAAGUUAAAAUACUCUUUCCUCCUCCUCCUUUAUCUAUAUUAGUAUUAUUAUUUUUGGAUUGACUAACACUUUGAUUGAAUUUUGUUAAUUCCCAACGAUAGCCAUUUAUUGUAAUACCUAUAUAUUUUUCCUAUGUCUUAUUAUUUGGUUU